AUUGAACGCUGGCGGCAUGCUUUACACAUGCAAGUCGACGGGAACAGGCCUUCGGGGUGUUGCGAAUUGGGGACGGGGGAGGAAUUGAUCGGGAACGUGCCAAGAGGUGGGGGAAACGGAAGCGAAAGCUGUCUUAUAACCGCAUGUGAUUGAGGGUGGAAGCGGGGGGCCCGGCAGGAAAUGUUUGCCUUCGCGCCUUUGGAGGGCCGGAUGUCGAAUUAGGUAGUUGGUGGGGUAAAGGCCUACAAAGCCGACGAUCUGUAGCUGGUCUGAGAGGACGACCAGCCACACUGGGACUGAGACACGGCCCAGACUCCUACGGGAGGCAGCAGUGGGGAAUUUUGGACAAUGGGCGCAAGCCUGAUCCAGCAAUGCCGCGUGCGGGAAGAAGGCCUUCGGGUUGUAAACCGCUUUUGUACGGAACGAAAAGGCUCUGGCUAAUACCUGGGGCUGAUGACGGUACCGUAAGAAUAAGCACCGGCUAACUACGUG
rnacentral:rRNA from 1 species